UCAAGCUAAUAAGAGCAUAAGGUGAAUGCCUUGGCAUCAAGAACCGAUGAAGGACGUAAAAAGCUGCGAUAAGCUUCGGGGAGGCGCACAUAGCCAACGAUCCGGAGAUUUCCGAAUGGGGAAACCUAGCUGAGAAAAGCUCAGUUGGCGUACAGUGAAUCAAUAGCUGUGCGUAGGGAACGCUCUGAACUGAAACAUCUAAGUAGGAGCAGGAAGAGAAAGAAACAUCGAUUUCCUAAGUAGUGGCGAACGAACGGGAAACAGGCCAAACCGAGAUACAUGUAUUUCGGGGUUGUGGACUACAUCAUGUGAUGGAGGUAAGGUAGUAGAAUUGUUUUGGGAAAGCAAGCCAAAGAAAGUGAAAGCCUUGUAUACGAAACCUGAAGACCCACAGUAGUAUCCAGAGUACAUCGGGACACGUGAAACCCUGAUGGAAGCCGGAGGGACCACCCUCCAAGCCUAAAUAUUCCUUGAUGACCGAUAGCGAAGAAGUACUGUGAAGGAAAGGUGAAAAGAACCCCGGGAGGGGAGUGAAAGAGAACCUGAAACCUUAUGUUUACAAACAGUCGAAGUUUUUCGGAACGACGGCGUACUUUUUGUAGAACGGUCCGGCGAGUUGCAGUGACAUGCGAGGUUAAGGAGUACAGCUCCGGAGCCGAAGGGAAACCAAGUCUUAACUGGGCGUCUAGUAUGUUAAUGCAGACCCGAAACCGGGUGACCUAUCCAUGGGCAGGUUGAAGUUACCGUAAAAGGUAAUGGAGGACCGAACUCACAUCUGUUGAAAAAGGUGGAGAUGACCUGUGGAUAGCGGAGAAAUUCCAAUCGAACUCGGAGAUAGCUGGUUCUCCUCGAAAUAGCUUUAGGGCUAGCCUUGAGGUAAAGUCUAAUGGAGGUAAAGCACUGAUUGGACGCGGGUCCCCAAAAGGAUACCAACUUCUAUCAAACUCAGAAUGCCAUAUAGAUAUACUCAGGAGUCAGACUAUGUGAGAUAAGUUUCAUAGUCAAAAGGGAAAGAGCCCAGACCGACAGCUAAGGUCCCAAAGUGUGUGUUAAGUGGAAAAGGAUGUUAGGUUUCUAAGACAACUAGGAUGUUGGCUCAGAAGCAGCCACUCAUUUAAAGAGUGCGUAACAGCUCACUAGUCGAGAGGUCUAGCGCCGAAAAUGUCCGGGGCUAAAACACACCACCGAAGCUACGGAAUUACCUAUGGUAAUUGGUAGAGGAGCAUUCUGUAAGGAUGAAGCACAAUUGAAAGAGAGUGUGGACGAAACAGAAGAGAGAAUGCCGGAAUGAGUAGCGAGAUAUAUGUGAGAAUCAUAUAGGUCGAAUGUCUAAGGUUUCCUGGGUAAAGCUGAUCUGCUCAGGGUAAGUCGGGACCUAAGGUGAGGGCGAGAGCCGUAAUCGAUGGACAACAGGUAGAAAUUCCUGUACUACGUAUAAUCAGAACUGUGGGGACGCAGGAGGAUAGGAAAACCGGAGAAUGGAAAUAUCCGGCUAAGUACAAAGGUGUGAGUGAUAGGCAAAUCCGUCACUAUUAGCUGAAGUACGAAUGGGAGCGAAGAAAAGUAGCGAAGUUUCUGAAUCCACACUGUCAAGAAAAGCCGCUAUUGCGUUAUACGUACCCGUACCGCAAACCGACACAGGUAGACGAGGAGAAAAUCCACAGACCGACGGGAGAAGUGUUGUUAAGGAACUCGGCAAAAUGACCCCGUAACUUAGGGAUAAGGGGAGCCAACGCAAGUUGGUCACAGAAAAGAGGCUCAAGCGACUGUUUAGCAAAAACAUAGGUCUAUGCGAAACCGUAAGGUGAUGUAUAUGGGCUGACACCUGCCCGGUGCUGGAAGGUCAAAAGGAGAGGUUAGCGUAAGCGAAGCUUUGAAUUCAAGCCCCAGUAAACGGCGGCCGUAACUAUAACGGUCCUAAGGUAGCGAAAUUCCUUGUCAGGUAAGUUCUGACCCGC
rnacentral:rRNA from 1 species